rnacentral:lncRNA from 1 species
AAAAAAAAUUGCAAUAAAAAAAUCCUAAUUCUAAUAGAUUACUAAUAAUGCUCUAAUUAGAUCAUAAUAAUGUUAAGCAAGCUUAAUCAAAUUCAAAAAAUCUCAAAGAAAUUUCAAACAAACAAUAAGAAUUCUUAAAGAAAUAUUAAAAAGAACACAAAUGUCAUUCAAAUACAUCUCAAUUCAAUCUUAAUUUAAUUCUAGUUAAAAUCCUAUUGAACUUCAAUCAAACUUUAGGCCAAAACUAAUUGAAUCUUAAAUCCUAAUAAAAUCCUAAACCCUAAAUCAAAAUCUAAUCAAAUCUUAAACCAAAUCCUAACCAAACCCUAAACCAAAUUCUAAACCCUAAAUCAAACCCUAACCAAAUCCUAAUCUAAAUCCUAAAUCCUAAAUCAAAUUCUAAUCAAAUCCUAAACCCUAAAUCCUAAACCAAAUCCUAAUCAAAUCUUAAAUCCUAAAUCAAAUCCUAUCUAAAUCCUAAACCCUAAACCAAAUCCUAAUCCAAAUCCUAAACCCUAAACCAAAUCCUAAUCUAAAUCCUAAAUCCUAAAUCAAAUCCUAAUCCAAACCCUAAACUCCAAACCCUAAAUCAAAUCCUAAUCCAAAUCCUAAACUCCAAACCAAAACUUAA